UUUAACAUGAAUUGAGUUAUGUGUUUCUUGUUAAAUGGAUCAAAUUUCAACAAAGCCCGGGAAACAUCUUGAAAAUCACAUGAAUGCAAUUUCCAAAGAAAACAAUCCAAGAAUUACUGCCAAAAAGUUUUAUUUCCACUAGGAAGGAAAAGAAGAGUUUCAUUUUGCCCCCCACACAGACUGUAUGUUCAAUCUGUGGUCUGCAGUGGAAAAUUCUCCUGAUUUUGCUCAAUUCAGGGGAGGAGAGAAAUGAAGGAGGCUAUUGUUAUUUGAGUGAGUGAUAAAACUGUCUUUCUUUCUCUAGUAUUAAUAUGUUAUUAGCAUUUUCAAUUUGAUUCUACAAAUAUUGAGUUUUACUGGUGUGUGUGGUACAAUGGGAAGCAGGACAAAAAGCUUAACACGCGAUGACUGUCUCAUGGGCUUUACAAAUUAGACCUACAAGUAGGGCACUGCCAGCCCACACGGAGUCCUUGUGUAAAUUAGAAAAAGAUGACCCUUCCAGGCAGAUGCAGCCUUGUGGGUAACCAGUGAGCAACCAAGGGACAUUUGUGCAAAUUAGAAAAAGCACCUUCUUCCUCUGGUGGGCACAAUCUUGCACCAGAGUGAACAUCUUGAUUUUAUCCUCCCUCCCUGUUGACAAGGUGCUUUUAUGCAGGAUACAACUUGCCCAUGUGACUGCAACAGGACAUAUAAAGGGAUCAUCUGAGAAUUACUCAUGGUCAAAAUGGAAACAAUGCAACCACCAUUCUCAAACUUCAGUGAGUAGAAGAAUCAUGGCAGCUUGCUAAAAUGCCCGAGUCUCAUCUCAGAUAUUCUGAUUCAGGAUGACUGAGGUGAGCUCUUUGGGUGUAAAAUGCAAAGAUGGGAUGAAGAGACAUUGCAGCCCUCUGAUUACUCACUUGGGGGAAGUAGAUCAAGGCUAUGAUGUUGCCUGACAGUGAUGGUUGAAGGCAGCUGAGUCCUGUCAUGGAAAAUGUAAAGGCCCUCCCCUUUUUCAUUUCCCUCCAGGAACUUCUGCCUGUAGUAAUAAAGAAUCCUGUGUUCAUGCCUGUGUUGCUUCAUUUUAGGAGCUUGACUUUUAUAUGAAUCUUUGUCCAUGUGCAGGGCUGUCGACUAUUGUUUCUGCCUCAGCUUACCCAUGAAGAAAGGGAAGUGUGUGACAUUAAAUGAUUUGCCCAGGUCACCCAGAAAGUCAGUGAUGGAGUCUACAAAAGAAAGGAUAAGUUGUUUUUCUUCGUUCUCUACCUCAGCCACCAGAGGAAAUCGCAGCAAAGUGUCCAGGAUGGUUCAAUAAUCAGCCCUCCUUCCUUCCCAUGACCAGAAGCCACAGUUAUUUCCAUGAGGAUGCUGGUGUUUGGCUUCCUUCCUGCCUCAUUUGACUGAGUUGUCUUUGCUGUAGAGCUUGCUUUUCUGUAAGGCCAACGCUGUAUCAGAACCCAUGGAUUAUAAGCAAUAUUCACUGUGUGCCGAACCCUUAACACUAGGCACUGGGAGACACCAUGAGGGGACCUAACCCAUCUACAAUAUAAAAAUAAGCCUAUGGAACAGAACUGGGGGAACCUAGAAAGACCUGCUCUGGGGAGCCAUUUAUACCUGGCUUUGAAUCUCAGGGCAGUCACUUAUCAGCUGUGUAGCUUUGGGGAAGUUACACAAUCUCUCUGAGCCUUGCUUCCUUCACUUUCAAAAUGGAACUUGUAGCAUCUACCACAAGAAGAGUAUUCUGAGAAUUUAAGAAGCCUAUUUAUACAUGUAUAUCUAAAUGUGGGCAUACAAUGGCAAAUGAGAUGAGAAACAGAAGGAAAGAGAGAAAGGGAGGCUAGCACAUGUUUAUCACAGGUUAA
rnacentral:lncRNA from 1 species